GCCAGGCACAGUGGCAUGUGACUGUAGUCCCAACUACUCGGGAGGCUGAGGAUGGAGGAUCGCUCGAGUCCAGGAGUUCUGGGCUGUAGUGCACUAUGCCGAUCAGGUGUCCGCACUAAGUUCGGCAUCAAUAUGGUGACCUCAUGGGAGCGGGGGACCACCAGGUUGCCUAAGGAGGGGUGAACCAGCCCAGGUCACUAACAGAGCAGAUCAAAACUCCCAUGCUGAUCAGUAGUGGGAUCGUGCCUGUGAAUAGCCACUGCUCUCCAGCCUGGAAAACAUAGCUAGACCCCGUCUCU
rnacentral:SRP_RNA from 1 species